GAGGCAUUGAAGGACCAGGGUUUUUGCAGAUGGACCUACACCAUAAGAUCAUUACACAAACAUGCCAAGAAUAAUAUGAGGUCAAUCUCUCCGGCCAGGAAGCUUUCUUCUUCAUCUUUUGCUAUGGUUUCGCGUAAAUUGAGGGAAUCAAGCCAAUCCGAGGAGUCUCUAAGGAAAGUCAUGUGCUUGAGUUUUUGGGGUCCAAAUUAAAUGAGUUGAGAAGUUUGCCAUGAGAAUCUGAUGCCUUAUGCAGGCUGAAGCUGGUCCACUGAGAAGAACAUGGUCAAAGCCAUGAUUAUGGUUUGUGAGAGAAAAUUUGCGGGGGCUUGAUUAGUGAUUGAUGCAAGCCUGAUGUGAACUGUAGCUAGUCUGACUGCCCUCUCAUGAUCAGCUUGUAAUUACACCAUUGCUAUAUGCAACCCGAAAAUUUUGUGGAACAAAAAUGUUGUCACCAUCUUCCUAUCUUUUCCUAUCCCUUUUUAAUUCAUGUCCCAUGCAAUCUGAAAAAUCUUGCUUGUUCUUUAAUCA